AAUCACAGAUAAAAGAGAAUAUAAUUCUGAUAAAUAUGCUUAGGUUCUCUGCUGCAUUUUUGAAAUUCUGCAUUUUUCUAACCAUCAGACAUACUGUGUAUAUUAGUCUUCUAUUGACAGCAGGCAUCAUAAAUGGAGAUGAGGUAACACAAGAAUCAAGUAAAACUGCACAUGAAGAGGGAGAUGCUGUCCUCCUCUGCAAUUUCACAACAACACUUGCAAUAGCACAACCGUAUAUAUACUGGUAUCAGCGUAAAGCAAAUGGACCUUUACAAUAUCUGCAUCUUCAGGUGUAUAAAUCUAAAACUGAUGCAAAGUUAGGUCGUUUCACAUCACACUUUGAUGUAGCCAACAAUUUUGUGUAUCUGAAUAUAUCCAGACCGCAGCUGUCUGACUCGGCAGUUUACUACUGUGCGAUGAGUGACACAGUGAUGACAUCUUCUCUAAGAUGAAACAAGAAAUAUGGGGG